UAAGAAGUCUCGAUGUGAAAUCAAUGAACAGGAAAGAGUUGUAUACUUUUACUACUGAUUUUUUGGCCGUGUGUGGCGGAUUACUUGGAUUAUUCUUGGGUGUUUCUGUGCUGAGCAUCUUUGAACUCAUUUAUUACUUGACCCUUCGCUUAUUUUGGAUCAACCGCCGUGUGGCAAGGGCCGAAAAUGUGGUGGUACCAUUUAAUCAUGAGGCAGUAAUUGAAUUAGCCGCAUGAAAAUGCAAUUAAUCACAAUUGGCACUCGAUGCACGUUAUUCAAUUCAUAUGAAAUUAUUUAAAUAGAAGAGUGAAUGCGACUUUGUGCUAGAUUCUUAUGAGCUUUAUUGAUGUCUGUCCAACCAAGUUUAUUCGAUCGAAAAAAAUCGACAUUCUCACUGAAAAUUACUAUGUGUUUUAGUUGGAAAAGGAUCUUUGAAUUCAUCGCAAUUGUUCAACUCUAAUUUUGAUACGAUGCACAACAAAAUAUUUAAUAAGCUUCCUAGGAUUCGAGAGCGGCACUCUCAUUUAAAAAUUUGCUUUGGUGUAAACACUUUAUCAGUUGACUUAUUUGAAGUGGCAUCUGAUGACUGGAAUCCGGCAUUAUCUUACAUAACCAAAAGAUUGAUAAAGUCAACAGAAUUCUAUUUCUCAUUUCUUAUCAAAAAUAGGCUUUUAAAAUGAAAAAAAUAUUUAGAAAAAACCUGUCAAUUUAUCCACAACAUUUGAAGCAAAUGCGGCGAGUUCUCGAGCUAUAUCAACACUUAUAUAUUGAAACUCUAAUGGUCAAAGCAGCAGCCCGAUUAACAUGUUUCAUAUUUAUCAGAAGGUCUGCACAAGCAUUCAAAUGUACGGAAUGAAAUGCAAUGGCAAUUAAUAAUCAAACUUGAGUGAAUUUGCUACGUCAACUGACCACAGGUAAAUUGAAAAAGCAACCGAAACAUCGCUGAAAACACUUUAACAUCGCGAAGCUGAUAACUUAGUCAUUGCGGUAACCCCAAUGCCGUUAUAACGUUUGUUUUCAGAAAUAAGAGGCGUUUAUGCUUGAUUGCCUUAUCAAA